GACGAACGCUGGCGGCGUGCUUAACACAUGCAAGUCGAACGGAAAGGCCCUGCUUUUGUGGGGUGCUCGAGUGGCGAACGGGUGAGUAACACGUGAGUAACCUGCCCUUGACUUUGGGAUAACUUCAGGAAACUGGGGCUAAUACCGGAUAGGAGCUCCUGCUGCAUGGUGGGGGUUGGAAAGUUUCGGCGGUUGGGGAUGGACUCGCGGCUUAUCAGCUGGUUGGUGGGGUAGCGGCUUACCAAGGCUUUGACGGGUAGCCGGCCUGAGAGGGUGACCGGCCACAUUGGGACUGAGAUACGGCCCAGACUCCUACGGGAGGCAGCAGUGGGGAAUAUUGCACAAUGGGCGGAAGCCUGAUGCAGCAACGCCGCGUGCGGGAUGACGGCCUUCGGGUUGUAAACCGCUUUCGCCUGUGACGAAGCGUGAGUGACGGUAAUGGGUAAAGAAGCACCGGCUAACUACGUG
rnacentral:rRNA from 1 species